rnacentral:rRNA from 1 species
UACGUAGGCAGCAAGCGUUGUUCGGAAUUACUGGGCGUAAAGAGUACGUAGGUGGUUUGCCAAGUCCGAUGUGAAAUCUCCUGGCUUAACUGGGAGGGUGCGUUAGAUACUGGCGGGCUUGAAUCCGGGAGAGGAAUGCGGAAUUCAAGGUGUAGCGGUGAAAUGCGUAGAUAUCUGGAGGAACACCGGUGGCGAAGGCGGCAUUCUGGACCGGCAUUGACGCUGAGGCGCGAAGGCCAGGGGAGCAAACGGG